AUUUAGAGUUAGGAAAGAAAGCAAGUGAAACGGAUAGACACACUGCCCUCCUGCUUGCGGAAAGGAAUGUAUUUCCUAAUGAUCUUGUCCCUUCUAGGAGCAAUAACAGGUGAGACUUUCUUUCACCAACAAGAACAUGGAAAUCUUGUACUUCAGUGCAAUCAGCCAGUUGCUAAAGAAAGUAAGAGAAUAGAUUGGUAUAAGACAGCAGACGAUAUGCAACAAUUUGAGUUAAUUAACUGCUCUUCCAAGUGUAAUCACUUGUGUACAGAAACAGUUUGCAAUGAAACCUUAGAGGUGGCACGAGUUUCAUCUGAUGGGAGGAUGUUUGCAUGUGGAGCACUUUCAAGUGAUGAAGAACCAAUGACUUCCCUACUAUUCAGCAAUGCGUCUCACUGCAGGCGCUAUAGCUUCUUUCUUGUACAGACUAAAACCGAAUCAGCUAUGCAGUGGCAUGUCAUCUCUGGAGCUGUAGCUGGGAUUAUUUUUCUCAAUGUGACAGUAGGACUGAUCUGUCUGAAGAUAUUCAAAUCAAAAGGGAAAAAAACAACCACACAAGUUACCAGAGAUCACGAUGCUAUUGGAAUGACAGAAGAUGAAUGUUCUCCAUAUGCAGUAAGUGGCAGCAGCGACAUGUACAGAAAUGAGAGCCUUUACUCCCGUGUAACAAGGACCUGCACGGAGCCAAAUGGGCCCUCUUCUAGCCCAGAUAACAGGGCUACUGGGGCAGGACAGGGAGCAGAUAUACGUACUGUCUAUGCACUGCUGAAUAAAUAGCUGUUUCAGAUACCUUAGGAGGUGAAGGUGAAAGCAUUACUUUUUGCAAAUUACAUGGCAGUCUGAAUGCCAGCUGGCUAGAUAUAUUAGCUUUAUUGCUAGAAUGUCUGUAUAUUCAUGGAUCAAUAUACUCCAAGUACACGAAUUGCCUGGUAAAAUGUUUCUUACUAUAGCACUAUGGAAAAUUUACUUCUUACUUUCUGGUUCAUCUGCAUCAAGAAAACUAUGAGUUACAGGUUUUAUUUCUGGCCAAAAAAUCUUGCGAAACAGUGUGACUCAUUUUCUGCAAAUCUUCUCCCAGUAACGCGUACAAGGAAGACUGUGACCACCUUCAAACCGGCACAGGGGUGGGGAAGCCAGAGCAGAAAGAGCGCUGCAGGGCGCUCGGCACCUCAUGCCACUUCUAGAGCGCAGGAACUGCCCCGCUGGUGGCUCUGGGGGCCAGGCUGGCAGGGGAGCACGGCACGGGGAGAAGGGUCCCCUGCAGCCCCUGCCCGGGGGGGCCUGACAUCACUGCAGGGCAGCACCAGCGUGGGGGCAGCUCCACAAAGCAAGUCAGUAGUUUGCCUCCUCGUUAGGCUGAUCCAAUAUUUUGGCACAUUAGAUUUGUUACAGAACACUGUUUUACAAAAGUAUUUGUGAAUUCCGGCUGAUUUCAGCAGCCAGGAUUCCUUAAAAUUACUUUCUGGGAAAGUCAGAAUAUUUUAUUUUGACAUAUAUGAAGCAAAUCUUUCUGAUUUUUAGUUUAUAUAUUAGUGUUUCUGCUUCAAGUUUGACUUUUUUUUUUUUAAGGCAUAUUACCCCUUGAUAAUACAACAUUUUUAGAUGGACCUGAACUGAGAUUCCAAAUGAAUUCACAAAAUACUGAAUAGCCUUUAGAUGCAGAUAAUUUUUUUCUCUGCAGUCCAAACUAUGUAAACUAAUACAUGGAUUCUUCGCUAUUAGGCUACAUGUAUUAGCAGGUUCUAACUCUACAGUAGCUGCAAGAAUAAAAGCAAAAUAGCUUUUUUUUUUUUCCUGGAA
ensembl:lncRNA